UACGUAGGGGGCGAGCGUUGUCCGGAGUUACUGGGCGUAAAGGGCAUGCAGGCGGUCCGACACGUUUUGUGUGACAGCGGGUGGCUUAACUACCCGAGGAUACGAAAGACGGUUGGACUUGAGGACUCGAGAGGGACACGGAAUUCCGGGUGGAGUGGUGAAAUGCGUAGAGAUCCGGAGGAACACCGAAGGCGAAGGCAGUGUCCUGGCGAGUGACUGACGCUGAGGUGCGAAAGCCAGGGGAGCAAACAGG
rnacentral:rRNA from 1 species